CCAAGGGGUAGAGCUACUGGAUGAGAUUCCGCGCGCAAGCGUAGGUCUCUCAACCAAACUCCGAAUACUUGUGAUACCUAGUAAGGCAGUCAGUACUACGGGGCUAAGCUCGUAGCACAAAAGGGAAACAGCCCAGAUCGCAAGCUAAGGUCCCUAAAUCUAUGUUCAGUGGGAAAGGAAGUGGAAACUCUCAGACACUGAGGAGGUUGGCUUAGAAGCAGCCACCCUUUAAAGAGUGCGUAAUAGCUCACUCAUCUAGAGUUUCUGCGCCGACAAUGUAACGGGGCUAAACAUAGUACCGAAGCUGCGGAUUUGCAGACUUCAUUGAGGAUAUCAAUCCUUGAAAGUUGGUGAGGGGAAACGGAAGCGCCACAGUGUAUACGCCCGAGUUUGGGAGUACGUUGCACCGAUGGUGGCAAGCCAGUCGUUCUGGCCGAACGACAGUUUCCUUCCUCACCAAAUGACAAGUUCGAGCAAUGCUCGAGUCUUCAAUGAAGUCUGCAAGUGGUAGGAGAGCGUCCCAUACACGCCGAAGCGAGACAGGCGACUGCUCGUGGAGAGUAUGGAAGUGAGAAUGUUGGAAUGAGUAACCGCAAUGUGAGUGAGAUCCUCACACAUCGAAAGUCCGAGGUUUCCUGGGCCAUGUUGAUCACCCCAGGGUUAGUCGGUCCUAAGGCGAGGCUGAGAGGCGUAGUCGAUGGACAUCAGGUUAAUAUUCCUGAACUCGGUAUAUAUUCGAAGGAGUGACGCAUCGUUGUACUUCUCGCCCCUUAUUGGAUUGGGGUUGGGGACAUGAGGGUGCCAGAUAGGCAAAUCCGUCUGGCGUUAGCCCAAGUGUUCACACGUGGCUGGUAGCAAUACCGGCGAAGGAGAAAGAGCACGGUGCCAGGAAAAACUUCUAAGUUAUGUAUGUAUCAAUCCGUACCGCAAACCGACACAGGUGGACUGGGCGAGUAGCCUAAGAUGAACGGGAGAGUAUUCGUUAAGGAACUAGGCAAAAAAGCUAGACGUAAGUUCGCGAUAUGUCUUCCCGGCUCUACAUUGAGUCCUUCAGAAAAAGAAGUAAAAAGAAAGAAUUGUGACUCAUUGAUUCAAUGAUCAAUGGGGGACCUUGGAGAAGUAUGUGUGAUUGUGCAUGCAAAAGGGUGGAAAAACGUUAGGGCGUGUUUCGUAAGAUCAACCUUGGGACCAGCUUGCUGGAAUCUCGGACGAUAUCUGCGAUGAAAGAGUUCUAGCCCCCUUCUGCACCCAUGAGCUCGACAUCGCCUCGGCGUGAGAGCACAACCCUUAAGGCGACGAGCCUGCAGCCGCGGUAAUUCGUCGUCAAACUGCUGGUGACAAACCGGAGGUAGGCGGGGAUCAUGGGGUGCGUUUCGAAGCUUGCUUGCGAGCUAAGAGCGCUUGGUAGAACGUUUGACGGAGAAGUGCAGAAAUGCCUCGGCCUGAAAAGCCUUGAUCUUCCCGUUCACGAUGCACCACACGAAAGAGUAUCCAAGGUCUCUCACCAAUUCUUUCCUUCUGUUGUUCUGAAGGAUUGAAUGUAGAGUCGGGCGCAGCGAAAGUUUUUCAAGCGACUGUUUACCAAAAACACAACUCUCUGCAAACCAGUAAUGGGAAGUAUAGGGGGUGACACCUGACCAGUGCUGGAACGUUAACGGGAGCGGUUCACGCCAAUCCCCGAAGCGCCAGUGAACGUCGGCGAUAACUAUAAUCGUCCUAAGGUAGCGAAAUUCCUUGUCGGGUAAGUUCCGACCCGCAUGAAAGGUGUAACGACUUGGAAACUGUCUCAACGAACAUCCCGGUGAAAUUGCAAUGACGGUAAAGAUGCCGUCGACCUGCAGCAAGACGAAAAGACCCCAUGGAGCUUUACUACAACUUGGUAUUGACUGUAUGUUUUUGCUGCCGAGCAUAGGUGGGAGACUCUGAAACCGGGGCUCAGGCCUCGGUGGAGUCAUCACUGGAAUACCACCCUGCACGAAUAUACAUUCUCACCUGUCGCCGUUAUCCGGCGAGGGGACAGUGCCUGGCGGGUAGUUUGACUGGGGCGGGCGCCUCCUAAAAAGCAACGGAGGCGUUUACAAAGGUUCUCUAGGUCCGGAUGGAAAUCGGGCCGAUAGCGCAAACGCAGAAGAGAGCUUUACUGAAAGACCGAUCCGUUAAUCAGUUACGAAAGUAGAAGUUAGUGAACCGACCAUCACUCGUAGGAGUGUGGAAGAUCAUCAGAUAAAAGUUACCCUGGGGAUAACAGGCUGAUCAUGCCCAAGAGUCCAUAUCGACGGCAUGGUUUGGCACCUCGAUGUC
rnacentral:rRNA from 1 species